UCGGGAAUUUUUCUCAAUGGGGGAAACCCUGAAGGAGCGACGCCGCGUGGGGGAUGAAUGGCUUCGGCCCGUAAACCCCUGUCAUUUGCGAUCAAACCUUACGACCUAACACGUCGUAAGCUGAUAGUAGCGGAAGAGGAAGGGACGGCUAACUCUGUGCCAGCAGCCGCGGUAAUACAGAGGUCCCAAGCGUUGUUCGGAUUCACUGGGCGUAAAGGGUGCGUAGGCGGUCGGGUAAGUCUGACGUGAAAUCUUCGAGCCUAACUCGGAAACUGCGUCGGAUACUAUUCGGCUAGAGGAAUGGAGGGGAGACUGGAAUACUUGGUGUAGCAGUGAAAUGCGUAGAUAUCAAGUGGAACACCAGUGGCGAAGGCGAGUCUCUGGACAUUUCCUGACGCUGAGGCACGAAAGCCAGGGGAGCAAACGGGAUUAGAUACCCCCGUAGUCCCUGAGCGGGCUGGCAAGGCGCAU
rnacentral:rRNA from 1 species